UGUUUCCCUCUCUUCUUGAAGCGCCGCACGAAGACGACGAAGCCGCUGCAGAGGACGAGGCCUGCGAGCAACAAGAUGGAGAAGAAGAGACAGAGGAGGGAGAAGAGGAGGAGGCCAAACCCAAGUUCAAG